CCUCCCCCUCCCCCGGGGGCGCCGGCGCGGUCCCUGGGGAUCGUUUUGGUGUCCGGCUGCGCGCGCGCGCGCGUGAGUUUCGAGGCCCCGAGACCAGCCCCUGGAAGUCCAGCAUGCCUUUACUAGUACUUCGGACCUCCCCGAAGCUCACGCUGGCAUCCCUGAUGGCUUUCCGGAGGGACUGGACACCGAACCCCCAGGCAAGUGGAGGAGGAAGAUGGAGCGCUACUCUUCUUGCAAGAUGCAGCUGAAAUUUCACCUCCUUUGUGGGACCUUCCCUGGCCCCCACCACCCAGAGGAAAAUCAGUGAUCCCAUGCUGGAAUUGCUGGCCUCUCGCCCACAGGAUUGUGAGCCUUUCUCAUAUCUGACACAUAUGAAAAGGAAUAUUGAUGAGUGAGACGUGUUUCUUGCCCCCUGGAAAAUUACAGCCUGGUUUGGGGACAUAAAUAAAAGGGGGCAAAUUCCAA